rnacentral:piRNA from 1 species
UGUGUCAUCUGUGAUCACUUAUGAACCAA